GUGCCUAAUGCAUGCAAGUCGAGCGAGAAAGUCUCUUCGGAGAUUAGUAAAGCGGCGAACGGGUGAGUAACACGUGAGAAUUUGCCCUUUAGUGAGGAAUACCCCUGAGAAAUCGGGAUUAAUACCGCAUAAGUCCCUUCGGGGAGAAAGAUGGCCUCUUGCUGUCGCUAAAGGAUAAGCUUGCGGACUAUUAGCUUGUUGGUGAGGUAAUGGCUCACCAAGGCGAAGAUGGAUAGCCGGCCUGAGAGGGUGAACGGCCACACUGGAACUUAGACACGGUCCAGACUCCUACGGGAGGCAGCAGCAGGGAAUAUUGCGCAAUGGGCGAAAGCCUGACGCAGCGACACCGCGUGGAGGAUGAAGGUUUUCGGAUCGUAAACUUCUGUUAAGUGGGAAGAAAGAACCGCCUUUAAUAGAGGCGGGUGAUGACGGUACCAUUAGAGAAAGCACCGGCUAACUUCGUGCCAGCAGCCGCGGUAAUACGAGGGGUGCAAGCGUUAUUCGGAAUCAUUGGGCGUAAAGGGUGUGUAGGCGGCGUAUUAAGUUUAUUGUUCAAUUCUUCGGCCUAACCGAAGGUAAGCAAUGAAAACUGGUAUGCUAGAGAGUGGAAGAGAGAAGUGGAAUUCUCGGAGUAGCGGUUAAAUGCGUAGAUCUCGAGAGGAACACCGAUGGCGAAGGCAGCUUCUUGGUCCAUUUCUGACGCUGAGACACGAAAGCGUGGGGAGCAAACAGGAUUAGAUACCCUGGUAGUCCACGCCCUAAACGAUGAUCACUAGACGUUGGUUUCGCUUUUGCGAAAUUAGUGUCGUAGCUAACGCGUUAAGUGAUCCGCCUGGGGAGUACGAUCGCAAGAUUAAAACUCAAAGGAAUUGACGGGGGCCCGCACAAGCGGUGGAACAUGUGGUUUAAUUCGACAAUCCGCGAGGAACCUUACCUAGGCUUGACAUGCUUUUGACCGCCAUAGAAACAUGGCUUUUUGAGCUUCGGUUCAAACAAUUGCACAGGUGCUGCAUGGUUGUCGUCAGCUCGUGUCGUGAGAUGUUGGGUUAAGUCCUUUAACGAGCGCAACUCCUGUCGUUAGUUGCUAUUUGUUUUCAAAGCACUCUAGCGAGACUGCCUGGGAAACCAGGAGGAAGGUGGGAAUGAUGUCAAAUCAUCAUGGUCCUUAUGCCUAGGGCUACACACGUGUUACAAUGGUCGGUACAAUGGGUUGCAAGCUUGUGAAAGUGAGCUAAUCCCAAAAAGCCGAUCUAAGUUCGGAUUGAGGUCUGCAACUCGACCUCAUGAAGUUGAAAUCGCUAGUAAUCGCGUAUCAGAUAACNCGCGGUGAAUACGUU
rnacentral:rRNA from 1 species